GGGAAAAUCUUUAUAAUGCUUAUCAAUUAACAAGUUGCUCCGCGAAACCAUAACUAUUUAUAUAAAUAGAUCAUUUAUACAAGUGAAUCAUUCAGUUGUAAGAUGUCAGACUGAAAAACAUACGAAUAUGGAUAUUACUAUUGCUAACCUCUUGCUUACGUGUUUAUUUAUAAUCCAAGGGAUUACUUUAACGAGAAGUGAGGAUAAAAUCCAAUUAAAUGAAAAAAAUAAUCCGUUAGAAAACGUUAUAUUAUAUGAUAGUACACAGGAAAGUACAAACAAAGAUACAGAUCAAGAUAAUGUUAGGGUCAAAAGGCAGUUCGGUUAUUAUCCCUAUGGUUAUUAUCCACGCCCGUAUCCACUACCAAUACUUAUAGGAGGGAUCGGGAUCGGAAUUGGUAGACCAGGAUUUGGUUUCGGUAGACCGAGUUUUGGUGGACGAGGAUUUGGAUUUGGAAGGCCAGGUUUUGGCGGCAGGGGAUUUGGUGGUCGGGGCUUUGGUGGCCGAGGCUUUGGCGGCCGCGGCUUUGGUGGGUUUGGUGGACGUGGAUUUGGUGGAAGAGGUGGCCGUGGAUAAGAUCAUUACUGUUAUAUAAAUUACAUGGGCUAACUAUAUAAAUAUGUUAUGUUUUAAAAUAAUAAAGUACGAGUAAUAAAUAA